rnacentral:rRNA from 1 species
CCCUUAGAUGUUCUGGGCCGCACACGCGCUACACUGGCAGGUUCAUCGAGCUUCAUGCCCUGAUCUGAGAAGAACGGGAAAUCUUUGAACACCUGCCGUGCUUGGGAUAGAUGUUUGCAAUUAUUCAUCUUCAACGAGGAUUGCCUUGUAAGCGCAAGUCAGCAGCUUGCGUUGAUUACGUCCCUGCCCUUUGUACACACCGCCCGUCGCUACUACCGAUUGAAUGGUUUAGUGAGAUCUUCGGAUUGGCGCCACUGCAGCUCAGCAAUGGGCUUGGUGGAUGCCGAAAAGUUGAUCAAACUUGAUCAUUUAGAGGAAGUAAAAGUCGUAACA